GGCAGCCGGCGGCUGGUCCUGCGUCGCCAUGUUGCUCCAAACAGCACCGUGACUUCGUUUGGAUGCUUUCCGGGGCUGCGGAGCUGGAUUUUCUGAAGUGCGGUUUAAUGCUUACAGCUGCAACUGAAAUCAUGGAAACUGUUCUUUGAAUAUACUCAUGGCUAUAAAAAAGAAAUGGCAAAUUUUGCUGUUAGCUACCAUGUAACUUUUAGCUUUGAUCUACUAUGUCCAUCUGAGAUGGGAAAAGAUUUGAGAGGUAAGAUUGAAAGUCGAUGAUCCUAUAUUCCACAUAC